UGCUGCAUGGCUGUCGUCAGCUCGUGCCGUGAGGUGUUGGGUUAAGUCCGCACGAGCGCAACCCUAUUGCCAGUUGCUACCAGGUAAUGCUGGGCACUCUGGUGAGACUGCCCCGGUUAACGGGGAGGAAGGUGGGGACGACGUCAAGUCAUCAUGGCCCUUACGCCUAGGGCUACACACGUACUACAAUGGCGCAUACAAAGGGCAGCGAUACCGCGAGGUGGAGCCAAUCCCAAAAAGUGCGUCCCAGUCCGGAUUGCAGUCUGCAACUCGACUGCAUGAAGUUGGAAUCGCUAGUAAUUCGAGAUCAGCAUGCUCGGGUGAAUGCGUUCCCGGGCCUU
rnacentral:rRNA from 1 species